ACACAGUGGAGCAGCUACCACACUAAAAACGGGCGGAACCGAAAAGCCAGAUGAGUAGGGACAAAA
rfam:Chitinophaga ginsengisegetis strain DSM 18108 genome assembly, contig: LX61DRAFT_scaffold00005.5